UACGAAGGGGGCUAGCGUUGUUCGGAAUUACUGGGCGUAAAGGGCGCGUAGGCGGUGUGUCAAGUCAGGCGUGAAAGCCCCGGGCUCAACCUGGGAACAGCGCUUGAGACUGGCACGCUCGAGUUCGGGAGAGGAUGGUGGAAUUCCCAGUGUAGAGGUGAAAUUCGUAGAUAUUGGGAAGAACACCGAUGGCGAAGGCAGCCAUCUGGACCGACACUGACGCUGAGGAGCGAAAGCAUGGGGAGCGAACAGG
rnacentral:rRNA from 1 species